rnacentral:rRNA from 1 species
GGGAAACGGCAUUUAGUGCUUGCACUGAAUGGACGUCGACCGGCGCACGGGUGAGUAACGCGUAUCCAACCUACCCAUUACUGUGGGAUAACCUGCCGAAAGGCAGACUAAUACCGCAUAGUCUUCGAUGACGGCAUCAGAUUUGAAGUAAAGAUUUAUCGGUAGUGGAUGGGGAUGCGUCUGAUUAGCUUGUUGGCGGGGUAACGGCCCACCAAGGCGACGAUCAGUAGGGGUUCUGAGAGGAAGGUCCCCCACAUUGGAACUGAGACACGGUCCAAACUCCUACGGGAGGCAGCAGUGAGGAAUAUUGGUCAAUGGGCGCGAGCCUGAACCAGCCAAGUAGCGUGCAGGAUGACGGCCCUAUGGGUUGUAAACUGCUUUUGUAUGGGGAUAAAGUCAAUCACGUGUGAUUGUUUGCAGGUACCAUACGAAUAAGGACCGGCUAAUUCCGUGCCAGCAGCCGCGGUAAUACGGAAGGUCCGGGCGUUAUCCGGAUUUAUUGGGUUUAAAGGGAGCGUAGGCCGGAGAUUAAGUGUGUUGUGAAAUGUAGACGCUCAACGUCUGACUUGCAGCGCAUACUGGUUUCCUUGAGUACGCACAACGUUGGCGGAAUUCGUCGUGUAGCGGUGAAAUGCUUAGAUAUGACGAAGAACUCCGAUUGCGAAGGCAGCUGACGGGAGCGCAACUGACGCUUAAGCUCGAAGGUGCGGGUAUCGAACAGGAUUAGAUACCCUGGUAGUCCGCACAGUAAACGAUGGAUGCCCGCUGUUGGUACCUGGUAUCAG